UUAAGCGACUAAGCGUACACGGUGGAUGCCCUGGCAGUCAGAGGCGAUGAAGGACGUGCUAAUCUGCGAUAAGCGUCGGUAAGGUGAUAUGAACCGUUAUAACCGGCGAUUUCCGAAUGGGGAAACCCAGUGUGAUUCGUCACACUAUCAUUAACUGAAUCCAUAGGUUAAUGAGGCGAACCGGGGGAACUGAAACAUCUAAGUACCCCGAGGAAAAGAAAUCAACCGAGAUUCCCCCAGUAGCGGCGAGCGAACGGGGAGCAGCCCAGAGCCUGAAUCAGUGUGUGUGUUAGUGGAAGCGUCUGGAAAGGCGCGCGAUACAGGGUGACAGCCCCGUACACAAAAAUGCACAUACUGUGAGCUCGAUGAGUAGGGCGGGACACGUGGUAUCCUGUCUGAAUAUGGGGGACCAUCCUCCAAGGCUAAAUACUCCUGACUGACCGAUAGUGAACCAGUACCGUGAGGGAAAGGCGAAAAGAACCCCGGCGAGGGGAGUGAAAAAGAACCUGAAACCGUGUACGUACAAGCAGUGGGAGCCUCUUUUAUGGGGUGACUGCGUACCUUUUGUAUAAUGGGUCAGCGACUUAUAUUCUGUAGCAAGGUUAACCGAAUAGGGGAGCCGAAGGGAGACCGAGUCUUAACUGGGCGUUAAGUUGCAGGGUAUAGACCCGAAACCCGGUGAUCUAGCCAUGGGCAGGUUGAAGGUUGGGUAACACUAACUGGAGGACCGAACCGACUAAUGUUGAAAAAUUAGCGGAUGACUUGUGGCUGGGGGUGAAAGGCCAAUCAAACCGGGAGAUAGCUGGUUCUCCCCGAAAGCUAUUUAGGUAGCGCCUCGUGAAUUCAUCUCCGGGGGUAGAGCACUGUUUCGGCAAGGGGGUCAUCCCGACUUACCAACCCGAUGCAAACUGCGAAUACCGGAGAAUGUUAUCACGGGAGACACACGGCGGGUGCUAACGUCCGUCGUGAAGAGGGAAACAACCCAGACCGCCAGCUAAGGUCCCAAAGUCAUGGUUAAGUGGGAAACGAUGUGGGAAGGCCCAGACAGCCAGGAUGUUGGCUUAGAAGCAGCCAUCAUUUAAAGAAAGCGUAAUAGCUCACUGGUCGAGUCGGCCUGCGCGGAAGAUGUAACGGGGCUAAACCAUGCACCGAAGCUGCGGCAGCGACGCUUAUGCGUUGUUGGGUAGGGGAGCGUUCUGUAAGCCUGUGAAGGUGUGCUGUGAGGCAUGCUGGAGGUAUCAGAAGUGCGAAUGCUGACAUAAGUAACGAUAAAGCGGGUGAAAAGCCCGCUCGCCGGAAGACCAAGGGUUCCUGUCCAACGUUAAUCGGGGCAGGGUGAGUCGACCCCUAAGGCGAGGCCGAAAGGCGUAGUCGAUGGGAAACAGGUUAAUAUUCCUGUACUUGGUGUUACUGCGAAGGGGGGACGGAGAAGGCUAUGUUGGUCGGGCGACGGUUGUCCCGGUUUAAGCGUGUAGGCUGGUUUUCCAGGCAAAUCCGGAAAAUCAAGGCUGAGGCGUGAUGACGAGGCACUACGGUGCUGAAGCAACAAAUGCCCUGCUUCCAGGAAAAGCCUCUAAGCAUCAGGUAACAUCAAAUCGUACCCCAAACCGACACAGGUGGUCAGGUAGAGAAUACCAAGGCGCUUGAGAGAACUCGGGUGAAGGAACUAGGCAAAAUGGUGCCGUAACUUCGGGAGAAGGCACGCUGAUAUGUAGGUGAAGUCCCUCGCGGAUGGAGCUGAAAUCAGUCGAAGAUACCAGCUGGCUGCAACUGUUUAUUAAAAACACAGCACUGUGCAAACACGAAAGUGGACGUAUACGGUGUGACGCCUGCCCGGUGCCGGAAGGUUAAUUGAUGGGGUCAGCGCAAGCGAAGCUCUUGAUCGAAGCCCCGGUAAACGGCGGCCGUAACUAUAACGGUCCUAAGGUAGCGAAAUUCCUUGUCGGGUAAGUUCCGACCUGCACGAAUGGCGUAAUGAUGGCCAGGCUGUCUCCACCCGAGACUCAGUGAAAUUGAACUCGCUGUGAAGAUGCAGUGUACCCGCGGCAAGACGGAAAGACCCCGUGAACCUUUACUAUAGCUUGACACUGAACAUUGAGCCUUGAU
rnacentral:rRNA from 1 species